rnacentral:lncRNA from 1 species
CUCUGACAAUUUGCUCUACAUUAUUGCCAAUGGGUUCAGAGACUCUCAUUUCCAGAUCUGGUUAUUGCUUCCCAUAGUAUUACUUUCUAAAGCAUCCUGGAUACAAUCUUUGAACAUUCUUUUGAUGGAAGACCCCAGGAUUUCUCUUGCUGACCCAGGUGACUAUUUGUUGCAUCAUCACUGGUUUAUCUUGGCUCUCAGAUGCCUCUGUAUCCACUGAUGUCCUGAUAUAUCAUGGAUCAUUACCCCAAGAAUCCAGUGAUACUGUUUUUAUCAUUUCUAGAAUCCUUGAAGGAGAAUUGGGAUUACAGUUACUAUUCUUUAAAAAGCUUAAAAUGAGCUUCAAUCAAGAGGAGGAAUGAAAAUUGCUUAAGUCAGACCCCACAGCUAAAGGUGUUGAUAUACAUGGAAAAGGAAGCUCCAGGCAGUGAGGCAAUGAUUUUCCCUUUCAUAUUGUGAUUUUGAAGAGCCUACAGCAGUGAUUAACACUUUUCAGUAAAAUAAUAACAGCAACGAUCAGAAAACAUUCUGAGAGUGCCUGGGAGCAAAGCAGUUGAAUUGUCCCAGCAUUUUCCUAACAGAACCCAGAAACCCUAAUUAUGAUGGGUGUUUCUUCAGGCAAGCCAUACACAUUUGCUACUGAAAUCAACAACUUCAGUGCCUGUGGUGUUAUAAACACAUGGUGGGCCCUCCCUCAUGGCAUGGAGGAAAGUGCACUGGAUUUGAAAUCAGAACAUCUGGCUUGGGGCCUGGCACUCUGCCCCCGCUGUGUCUUAUUUCACGUCAGCCUCGACAGAUGUUCUUCACCCUGCCAGACCUACCCAGCCUUAAUCUCUUCCAUCCAGACCUCACCUUUCAGACUCCUGUGAAGAAAUAACUCCUUUUCCAAGUUUAAUAAGACUGUUUUGAGCCCAGUUAGUUGCUGGAUCAUUUAUGCCUCACUGUAUGUGUGUGUGUGUGUGUGUGUGUGUGUGUGUGUGUGUGUGUAUCGUUUUUACCUCUUUGUGGCAUUUGCCAUACUAUUUUGCAAAUUCUUUUUAUGCAACUGUUUUCUUCCAUUAGACUAUUAACUCCUUAUAUCCUCAUAGUUUAAUGUAGUGCCUGGCACAUGGUAGGAUGCAUUAUGUGUUUGACGAGAAAUUAAAUAAACAAUUUGGCAUGCAAAGUUUCUGCCUCUGU